AACGAACGCUGGCGGCGCGUUUUAAGCAUGCAAGUCGAACGGUAGUGGUAGCAAUACCAUGAGAGUGGCGCACGGGUGAGUAAGACGUAGGUGAUCUACCUCUGGGUGGGGGAUAGUCCAUGGAAACAUGGGGUAAUACCGCAUGAGGCCUUGGGGGUAAAGCCCUGAGGUGAAAGCUCCAAUUGGAGCGUCUGGGGAUGAGCCUGCGGCCCAUUAGGCAGUUGGCGGGGUAACGGCCCACCAAACCGACGAUGGGUAGCCGGCCUGAGAGGGUGUACGGCCACACUGGAACUGAGACACGGUCCAGACUCCUACGGGAGGCUG
rnacentral:rRNA from 1 species